GUGCACUUAGCUCAGUGGUUAGAGCACCCUUUUAGAGUUUGGGGAACAUAGGUCACAGGUUUGAGUCCUGUAGUGUACA
rnacentral:tRNA from 1 species